rnacentral:lncRNA from 13 species
GUGGGUAGUUAUAAGAAUAAAUACCUCUAGGUCUGAAGAGGAAAGGGAAGAGAGCAGUUUCUAGAUAGAAGGAUACAGUCACAUACAAAGGGACUAUCCUGUCAGAUCUUAUGUCAGGGGAUUCAGCCAAACCAAGGCAGCCACGCAGGUGAGAAUCCAAUGAGAAGACUGUUGUCUGCAAACCAGGAAGAAGCCUCUCACCAGACCCUGGGUCUGCUGCUACCUCAUUCUUGAACUUCCCAGCCUCCAGAAUUGCUGGAGUGCAGUGGUGUGAUCUUGACUUACUACAACCUCCACAUCCUAGGUUUACGGGAUUCUCCUGCCUCAACCUCCAGAGUAGCGGGGACUACAGGCACAGUGACUCCCACCUGUAAUCUCAAAACUAUGGGAGGCUGAGGCAGGAGACUCACUUGCGGUCAGGAGCUCAAGACUAGCCUGGACAACAUGGCAAGACCCCAUCUCUAAAAAAAAAAUAAUAACUAGCCAGGUGUGGUGGCGCAUGCCUGUAGUCUUAGCUACUUAAGAGAAUGAAGUGAGGGGAUCGCUUGACCCCAGUAGUUUAAGGCUGCCCUCCAGCCUGUGUGACAGAUUAAAACUUUGCCUCAAGAAAAAAAUAAAAUUAAAAACUUU